rnacentral:tRNA from 1 species
GGUGAGAUGGCUGAGUAAAGCAUUAGACUGUAAAUCUAAAGACAGGAGUCUAGUCUCCUUUUCACCA